rnacentral:rRNA from 1 species
AAUUGGAGGGCAAGUCUGGUACCAGCAGCCGCGGUAAUUCCAGCUCCAAUAGCGUAUAUUAAAGUUGUUGCAGUUAAAAAGCUCGUAGUUGAAUUUCGGGAUCAAUAUUUCGGUCAUGCCGUUGGUAUGCACUGUUAUCAUUGAUUUCUCACCUUCUAAAGAACCGUAAUGCCAUUAAUUUGGUGUUACGGGGAAUUAGGACUGUUACCUUGAAAAAAUUAGAGUGUUUAAAGCAGGCUCACGCUUGAAUACAUUAGCAUGGAAUAAUGAAAUAGGACAUCCGAUUCUAUUUUGUUGGUUUCUAGGAUCGAUGUAAUGAUUAAUAGGGAUAGUUGGGGGCAUUAGUAUUCAAUUGUCAGAGGUGAAAUUCUUGGAUUUAUUGAAGACUAACUACUGCGAAAGCAUUUGCCAAGGAUGUUUUCAUUAAUCAAGAACGAAAGUUAGGGGAUCGAAGACGAUCAGAUACCGUCGUAGUCUUAACCAUAAACUAUGCCGACUAGGGAUCGGAUGAUGUUAAUUUUUUAAUGACUCAUUCGGCGCCUUACGGGAAACCAAAGUGU